UAGGGUUAGGGUUGGGCUUGGAGCUAGGAUUUUUCUGAGUGCACUGAACCAGCUCCCGAGUCUCUAGGACAUUCCUAAAAAAAUUUGAUUUUUUCCCAUAGGAAUGCAUGGGUUAGGGUUAUGGUUAGGGUUAGGGUUGGAGCUAGGGUUAGGGUUAGGGUUAGGGUUGGAGUUAGGGUUAGUGUUGGAGCUAGGGUUAGGGUUGGGCUUGGAGCUAGGAUUUUUCUGAGUGCACUGAACCAACUCCCGAGUCUCUAGGACAUUCCUAAAAAAUUUGAUUUUUUCCCAUAGGAAUGCAUGGGUUAGGGUUAUGGUUAGGGUUAGGGUUGGAGCUAGGGUUAGGGUUAGGGUUAGGGUUGGAGUUAGGGUUAGUGUUGGAGCUAGGGUUAGGGUUGGGCUUGGAGCUAGGAUUUUUCUGAGUGCACUGAACCAACUCCCGAGUCUCUAGGACAUUCCUAAAAAAAUUUGAUUUUUUCCCAUAGGAAUGCAUGGGUUAGGGUUAGGGUUAGGGUUGGAGCUAGGGUUAGGGUUAGGGUUAGGGUUGGAGUUAGGGUUAGUGUUGGAGCUAGGGUUAGGGUUGGGCUUGGAGCUAGGAUUUUUCUGAGUGCACUGAACCAACUCCCGAGUCUCUAGGACAUUCCUAAAAAAAUUUGAUUUUUUCCCAUAGGAAUGCAUGGGUUAGGGUUAUGGUUAGGGUUAGGGUUGGAGCUAGGGUUAGGGUUAGGGUUAGGGUUGGAGUUAGGGUUAGUGUUGGAGCUAGGGUUAGGGUUGGGCUUGGAGCUAGGAUUUUUCUGAGUGCACUGAACCAACUCCCGAGUCUCUAGGACAUUCCUAAAAAAAUUUGAUUUUUUUCCCAUAGGAAUGCAUGGGUUAGGGUUAUGGUUAGGGUUAGGGUUGGAGCUAGGGUUAGGGUUAGGGUUAGGGUUGGAGUUAGGGUUAGUGUUGGAGCUAGGGUUAGGGUUGGGCUUGGAGCUAGGAUUUUUCUGAGUGCAAUGAACCAACUCCCGA